rnacentral:rRNA from 1 species
GCAAAAAAUCCAGCCCACACACUUCCUUAUGUACAUACAACAACUUCCAAAAUAAAUAAAACAUUCUUUUUCUAAGUAUAGGCGAUAAAAAAGUGUCUAAGAGCUUUAUAAAUAGUACCGCAAGGGAAUGAUGAAAUACAAAUGAAAUAACAUCAAGCGCUACAAAGCAGAGAAUAUACCUCGUACCUUUUGCAUCAUGGUUUAGCUAGUAAAACCAAGCAAAACGCAUUAAAGUUUGACUUCCCGAAACCUGGCGAGCUACUUCAAAACAGCCUUUAGGGCCAACCCGUCUCUGUUGCAAAAGAGUGGGAAGAUUUUUAAGUAGGGGUGACAGACCUACCGAGCCACGUAAUAGCUGGUUACUCGAGAAAAGGAUUUGAGUCCUCCCUUGGGCUUUUUCAUAAUUAAUAAUAAAAUAUUAAACCCAAGAGGCAUUUAAAUAAGGAACAGCUUAUUUAAAAUAGGAAACAACCUAAGACAUAGGGUAAUUUUUUUACUAAUAACUAAGUGGGCCUAAGAGCAGCCAUCUUCUAAAAAGCGUUAAAGCUUAAUUAUUAAAGCAGAUAAUUUCUAAAACAACACAAAACCCAUACAUACUAUCGAGUGAUUCUAUAAAUUUAUAGAAGACCUAAUGCUAAAACUAGUAACAAGAAGAAGACCUUCUCCUAAAUGUAAGCGUAAGCCAAACAAACUAUAAGGCACCUACCGCCAUGAAUAAAAAGUAGUAACUUCACAAGAAAAAUCUAUUAACUUCAGCGUUAACCUUACACAAGAACAUUUCAGAAAAGAUUAAAAAAAGAGGAAGGAACUCGGCAAACUAUUAAUCCCGCCUGUUUACCAAAAACAUCGCCUUCUGACAAGAUAUAGAAGGUCCAGCCUGCCCAGUGACAAAGUUAAACGGCCGCGGUACCCUAACCGUGCGAAGGUAGCGCAAUCACUUGUUCUUUAAAUAAGGACUAGUAUGAAUGGCAUCACGAGGAUUAUUCUGUCUCCCCCUUUUAAUCAGUGAAACUGAUCUCCCCGUGAAGAAGCGGGGAUUAUUUUAUAAGACGAGAAGACCCUAUGGAGCUUUAAACUUACACCACAUACCUUAAAUAAUUUCAUAAUAAAUAGGUAAAGCCUGUGUGCCAGUUUUCGGUUGGGGUGACCACGGAGCAAAGCAAAACCUCCAUGCUGAAAAGAUAUUUUCUUAAUCCAAGAACAACAUUUCAAAGAAUCAGAAUACUGACAUAAUUGAUCCAAACAAUUUGAUCAACGAACCAAGUUACCCUAGGGAUAACAGCGCAAUCCAUUUCAAGAGCUCAUAUCGACAAAUGGGUUUACGACCUCGAUGUUGGAUCAGGGUAUCCCAGUGGUGCAGCCGCUACUAAAGGUUCGUUUGUUCAACGAUUAAAACCCU